GGGCUUACCCUGUGGGCCGGGAAAAGAGCCAGCAGGAUGGAGGUGGGGAGCUUCUGCGGCCCUGCAGGGCUGCGCGUCCAGAGCGCCGUCCCGCGCGUGCCGUGGCGGGAAGUCCUAGCCCGCGCGAUUCCUCCUUCCCGACCGUGGCGAGUGUUUACUGAGCGUGCUGGUGCUUCACUCAGGCUGCGUAACAGACAGGGGUUUGACCACAGAUGUUUAUUCUCGCAGCCCUGGAGGCUGGAGCCCAAGAUGAAGGUGUUGGCAGGGCUGGUUCCUCCUGAGGCCUCUCUCCUCGGGUGUAGAUGCAUCUUUUCUCCGUGUCUCCUGGGGUUGUCCCUCUGUGUGUGUCCGCACCCUGGACACCCGUCCUAUGGGGUCAGGGCCCACCUAACAACCUCAUUCAACCUCAGCCCCUCUUAGUGGGGAAGAGGCGUGAGCCACUCAGAUCUCCAGUGAGGGGGCAUGGAGAAGGGUGAGCAGGGAGGUGCAAACGUGCAUGGUAAUUUUAGGAGCCGUGGCCCAAAGGAGGCUGGACCUCAGAGAGGACACUGGAGCCAAGUGCAGAGAAAGGGGAAGCCGUGGCAGGAGGCGAAGCCCGCGCUGUCCUGUGCCGGCUUGGAAUCCGGCGUCCCAUCUGGAAGGCUGGAGCCGGUCUUGAGGCAGGCUCGGCUCAUCCAGCCCCCGCUGGGUGUCGGGCUGGUGGGACCAUCCCAGCUGGUUGACACUAGGGCGGUUGGUGAAAUAAAGAACAGGGCGGGCUUUUUACAAAGUCGGGAUUUUCUUCUACGGCUGCCGUGAACUUUACAAAGUGUGAGGUGAGCCGCGGGGCCGCAAGACAAAAACACACAACAGAACAGACCAGGCUGACGAGGUCCGCGGGGACAUGCUCCUCCUGCACAGACGAGGACAAGCACAACUCAGUACAACACAAGCAACGCGGCCCGGGAGUGGAGGGGGUUAGGUCAGCCCGGGCCGGGAGAGCUCUGCAGCGGCCGCUGGGGGUACAGGCUGCCCCGCGGCGCGUUUGCUGGCGCAGGGGGUUAACGAGGCCGAAGUUAAUCCCGCCAUGUGUGGGAUUUUGCUGACGCCUGUUCUGGCUCGGGGUUCGAAGGACUGCGACUUGAUCCUGGCCCCCCAGCCCACAGGACGCACCCUCCUCCCGCAGGAGACAGAGGCGUAAGUACCGGAACGGCCGAUGCAGGGCCACUCCGCUCCGACCGAUGCCCCAGGCAAAGGGCCUAUUAAUCCAGCUGCAGCCCCACUUCUCUUCGCGGCUUCCUGGAGGCAGGAUGGCCACUGGAAGUGGUUUUGAACGGCUUCCUGUGGUUCUCCCACUCUGAGGGGCGGGGGUUCUAUUUUCAGACAGUGACCACUGCUGUGAAGGUCCAGUUGGCCACAGAUGAAGGCAAUGUGGGGACUCGUGGGGACCAGGCCAGACUGGGUGGGGUCUCCAUUCAGGUGGUAUUUUAAGAGUUCCAGUGACACAGAGUGGAGAAGGCCACCACUUCCUCCCGACGGGUAAGAGGGUGUGUCUGGGCCCACGGGCACUGGGAUGCUUGGCUGCGAAAUGUGUCACCGUGUUUGGAGGGCUGGUGGCCACCCCACCAGAGGCUGUGUGGCUGGUGGAUGCCAAGAGGUGUAUGUGCUCCUUUGCACUCACCACGAGCCUUGCCUGAAUAUGAUGGUACGUGGUGGAUUUUUUUCUCAAACAUGCCAUCCUCUCGCAGUCGGCGGGUCUCGUCUUACUUCAGCUCUCCCCGGAAGCAGUCCUGGCACAAGGACCCCCGUGCACGUGGCUUAUGGGGGAGUGGGUAAGCGGGCAGGAUGAGAGCCAGGACCACCCAGGGUAGCUGAGGGCCCAGGACGUGCAGCGAGGCCAGCUGGCCUGUUUCUCAGACUCUCCGAGGCUGCAGGUUCUUCUGAAGGUAAGGGACCCUCUCCGGGGCCAAGAUGUGGCAGGAAUGGGCAGGUAGGCCUCCAAACCUGCGAGAACUCACAGAGCACAGGGGUGGAGAGGUCUGGGCUUCCCGUGGGUGUCUUCUUCCUUCAGCUGUCUCCUCUCGCGGCUCCUUUCUUUGCUGGUGAAAUUCUGACAUAACUCGGUGUUUGGGCAGCCCUCCUGCCGGCCAGGAAGCCUGAUCUGAUUGUCUCGGAUUCCUGUUUCUUUCUCUCUCUCUGUUUACCCUCUCCUUAAAGUGCAGACUUUGCAUCUCAUUUUGUGCCCUCAUUUUAUGCAAAGCACAUCCAUAGCAUCGGAUCCCCGAGCAGCCACGAGGACGACAAGGGUUAAAAGACUGACACUUCCAAGUGCUGCCAACACACGAGCAGCAAGAACUCUCACACGCUGCUGAGAAAAUAGGAGGGCUCAUGUGCCAAGUUAAAAACAGACGAACCGAUGGCCCAGUAAUACCCACUCCUAGCUAUCGCCCCCAAGAGAACAUACGUCUGCACAAAGCCCGGCAUGUGGAGGAGCACAGCGGCAUUGUCCAUGACAGCCCGAAGCGCUUCGGAGCGUGCUGCUUGGGUUCAAGCCCUGUGUCUGUGUGUUAAGAGGCUGUGCGAUCUGGGGUUGAGGACUUAGCCUCUCUGAGCCUCUCCUCCUCAUCGUCUGAUGGAAACAGCAGCAACCACCGAAGAGGGCUGUUUGAGGACUGAGCCGGUGGGAGAUCUGGAUGCACAGAGAUACAGACACACUCAGCGGGAAGGCAGAAGCAGACGCGGGAAGUGGUGCAUCUGCAAACCAAGGAUUGCGGGGGCCGCUCGGAGCUGGAAGAGGCAGGAGGACCUUCGACCAGAGCCUUCAGAGGAAGCGCAGCCACCGACACCUUGAGUCCAGACUCUGGCCUCCAGGACAACAACGCCUUUCUGUUGUCGUCAGCCCCCCACUCAGCGGCCACUUGCUCCGGCCGCCCUGGGACGGAGCGCGGCUGGCGGACAGGCUCAGCCCCACAGCGAGGGCUGUCACCUCGACCCCUGUGCAAGGCUCCGAGCUGUAACUUCCCUUAUUUUCUCUGACUUGAUAAUUAAUGAACUGAACUUAGAUAUUUUCAGACUCCUGUUUCCCUUCCUCAGCCUCCUCUGCCCACUCCACGGCUUUUCUGUUUUAGCGUCCCUCGCGGCUGUUUUUCGUAGGGGCAGCAGGAAACAUGGCUGCAGGGCUAAGAACGAGGGCAAGGGCCCCUUGGCUGUGGGAGGACAGGGCUCCCUGCGUCCCCCCGACGGUCAGCCUGCUCCCCGAGUCAUCUCUCUGACUCCCUCCCAUCUCCCUCUGUGGACAUUUUGGCAGCAGGACGGUGGGAGCAGAGAGCCGGCAGAGGUGCACAGAGGCUCCCAGGGCCGAGCCCCCCGGGAAGGCAGGCACAGCGAUGUCCGGCCUUUGGCUUCUGUAACUGGCUGGUGUUGGUGCUGGAGCACAGGAAAGCGGCUUCCCCGGGAUGGAGAUCAGAUAUGGAUUCGGCACCCGCCGCCGCCCGGUGGAGGAAAGGCCCCACAGCUGAGUUACACCGGGCAAGCCGGCCCGACGCACUUUCCACGCCAGAGGAGGAGGAGACAUCUUAGCCUGCGAGACGCUGCUCUUCAGGGAAGAGGCACGAGGGCCUGACCGGAUCCUCCAUGGAUUCCGCUCCCCCUUCCCGGGACCCAGCGCGACCCCAACGCCCACUCCGGGCAUCUUCCCUCCACCCCGCCCCGUCUGCUCUUGCCCGAAACUCCCUCUGCAGGUCACCUUUCAUGGUCACACAACACGUGGGGGAACAAGGUUGGGCUUGGGGAGCCUGGGUCUGUCGCUUGCAGAGACACGUCUGAAUGGGGCGACGCAGGUGUGCUUUGGGGGUGGACUGAGAAGCCCGGGACAACACCAGGCCCUUGGGCCAGAGCAGCCCACACUGGACCCUUUCCGGCCGAGCAAGCACAGGGAGGAGAGCUGACGUUGGAUGGGUUUCAGUUCCUGGCAAAUAAAUGUUUGA